rnacentral:misc_RNA from 1 species
AAGUAAUGAAUUAAUAAAAUACGUAAUGCAAAGCUUUUUAGUUGCUAUGGAAUCAUAUCAAGACCUACCACAUAAUCAACAGUCUGUCUUAUAUUACUUGUUUUCCUCUCACAUCUAGUCCUAACUUUGUUAAGGUGAAGUAGAGCAAGACUUUUCAUAUGUUACUUAGCGUCGUAUGAUAGAAACAUACAGAUUGUAUAAAAAAAUUAUCGAUUCCCUUCUCCCGGGAUACGUAUGAGUAAAAAUGGACAGGAAAUUUGAUGUCGAUAAGGAUAAAAAAGAUAGCGCAAAAUUGGAUGAUAUAGAAUUAACAACAAAUGGAACAUUGGAUAAAAAAAUAAAAUCUAAAAUGUCUGUUACCGAAACAACUGGUGUAUCCGGUUAUUCAAACGCCGGAUUUAGCAAAUCCGAAGCUGAUUCUGAUUCGUGGCCUGAAGAGGACAGAGAAAAAAAAGAUGUUGCUUUGGAUAUGGAUGAUGGUGAUUUCGAUGAUGAAAAUUUCAAAGAUGAAGAAUUAAAGAAGAAAUUAACUCCAGAGGAGGAAAAGAUUCUUGAAGUGUUGAGAGAAGUCGUGCGUAGAUGCACAAACCCGGACCCAAUGAAGCGUCCAACUGCAGCCGAAGUUUUGGAAAUGCUUAACAAAUGCCCAGUUCCACAAGAACAAGAUUAAACUAUCCUCCAGGAAGGCGUUGGCAUGUAAUUGAUUUUUUUUCGUAAUUGCUUUUGGUGUUUAUUCCAAUCUCAACUUAUAAGAAUUUAAAAUGUAAAUGUGAUGAAGUCGUAAGCUAUAUAUACAUAUAUUAUACAUUAAUAUAUAAUGAUGUAUAAGUAAUGUAUAAACAUUGAAAGAGAAACCUCCAUGAUUCAAGUUCAAUUUAUUUCUCUGUCUCUAUGUCUGCCUCUCUAUCUCUUAUAAGUCUUUAAUAAUGUAUUUUGAUCCUUAACUUUCUUUCUUAACAUGUAUGAAAAAACUUGACUGUUGUCAGUUGACGUUGUGAAUACUUUUUGAAGCCAAUUGCCUAAAUAAAAGCAACUAUUAUACAGAAAGAACAAUGGAAAGAGUAUCUUCGUAUCUUUUACUUUUUAAUAUUAAAUGGUAUUAAUCAGUUUUAUAUUUAUAUAUUAGAAUAAAAAAAAGGCGUUCGUUCAAAAUACAUGUACAUGUAUAUCUAUGUUUACUAAACUUAAAACAGUAAGUAAGCCUAUAUGAUAGAGUUCGUGCAUAAUUAAUAGGAAACUUAUUAGUUAUGAUAUUACAAAUUUAAUAUUUAAUUAUUAUUCGUUCUUUGUCUAGAAUAACAUGCUGGAAUGCAAGUUUAAUAUAAGUUUUUCACUCGUUCCUUUAUGUGUUUUUAUUCUCUUCACUUUAU